rnacentral:lncRNA from 1 species
UUUCAUUUCCCCCCUCCAGACUUGAAACUUUCAGUCAAGCAUAAUGUUUUCUGAUAGAAAUGAGGCUUAACUGUAUUACUUCUUAAUGUUACAAACCACAGGGAAUGUUAGAUACCUUAAAUUUGUAAAGCUUUAAGGGAUAUGUGUUACUGAAAAAUCUGAGCCUUUAGGCUUUCUUUACAGAAUUUGUUUUUGAAGAAAUUGUGCUUGCCUGUCAUGCAAUCUGUCUAUUCACUGUUGUGAAAAAGAAAAAAAAGUACAUUCUCCUGCUAUUACAGAAAAAAAAAAUUACUGAAAAUAUCAUCUGUAUGUUUUUAGUGAUCUGAGUGACUGUAAACCAUGAGGAGUCUCUAUCUGCUGUGUU